CAAAAUCACGUCACAGAGUGUAAUUGCCACAAACAAAGGGAUUAAAGGUUAUUGACAAACAAUUCCUAGGGGAGAUAUUAAAAUUGUUGAAAAAUCAACAAACAAAAAUCGGGGAAAAAUAAUAAAAAAAAUCAUAAACGCUUAAUCCUAUCUCAUAUAAAAAAGCACGUUUGGAAAGAAAUGGAGAUGAAACAUAAAGGCAUAAAAAAUACAGACCAUAAUAAAUGUCUGACCAUUUGCCAAUAAGUUAUCGAUGGGCCAUUGAGUUGUUGAGCCGCCAUUAAAAUUUAAUUAAAUCCAACUGGAAAAAAUGUUAAUUAAAUUGAUAUGUUGAGAAGUGGUUAUCAAAAGCAAGACAUGGCAAAAAACGUAUUAUAAUAUUUUUACCUACCGCAAACCCCGAAAUUUGUUCUAAUGGAUUGCAUAACAGAAAAAAAUGUUUGUCUCCUUCAAAAAUGUUUGUUAUCUUUAUACGAGCCAAAGAAAUCUACGAUAUUUUUAUAUUAAAUUGACAAUAGAAUCAAAAA